CAGGUGUCCAAAAGCUGGCACAAGGAAACUGCCCCUAUGGGCAACCUUGGAGAAACCAUUGGGAGAGAGUGGAACGGGCACCCGGUGGUGCUUCAUAAUGAAUGCAUAUUCAAAAGCCCUGUGCUGGUUCCAGCGGCUCUGCAGCAGACAAAACAGCCCCACCGUGUGCCAAACACGAGGCAGUCGGAGAACGUUCUGCUGCCUCUGCAUAAACGCAUUUGAGGAGGAGGAGACACGCGGGAGAUGCAACAGACGCCGGGACAGGAGGGGCGAGAGCAGGAAAAGCACUGAGGGAAACAAACAUGAACUGACCGUGGUCUCCCACACUGCCCACUGCCUCACCAGAGGGACCAACGAGUCACAUGCUGUGGGGGAACAGGGAGCAGGACGGGCAGAGGAGAGGUGCCUGGAAGUGAUCCUACAAGGGAGCAUGUGUUUGUUUUUUCAGUACUAGAAUCAGUAAUUUAAAGUUUUUAAUUGGGACUAAAUUAAAUCAGUUGAAAUUCCCGUGGCACACAACCAUUCCUGGCUUGCAACAGGGAGAAACUGAUUCAACACAGAAAUUUGCAAACAAACUGGUGCAGUCACAGUGGUCUGGCAAAGGAUCUAAGGGUGAAGAUAGGGAAAACAGCAAAUUACGUUGCUGUGUUGUAAGACAGUUGCUAAUCUGGGGUAUAAAAGUAACAUGGAUCUUUUAAGCCCGGAGAAGGGCUGAUAAUAACAUUUUAUCCUGGCAUUUGUUAACUGCAGUGAAAAACUGCAACGUAAGCGGAAAAAGAAGUUCAAAGAGAGGCAGCAGAAGCGAUGAACAGAGAUAUGUCUUCAGGAGAUAGAUGUUUACAUGCUUGGCUUAGGAGAGCGCUGCCAAGCUGCAAAAAGGCAGAAGGUCCUUUCAAGGACCUGUGUGGAUCAUAAGGAGUGUUACAUGGAGUAACAACAUGGAAAGAGAAAGAAGAUUUAUGACAGCUACAUAAAACUGACAGUCAGUCAGAAAGGACCGCAGACUAUAGAGGAUGCUUUUCUACAUGGUAUCAGCAGCUGCAGAACCACUCUGAAAGUGCUUUCUAUAGAGAUGAUAAAUCUGUA
rnacentral:lncRNA from 1 species